rnacentral:lncRNA from 7 species
CAGAGCAAGCAGCCUCAGUGCCGACCAUCGUUUCCACUUUAGACCAAGAAGCAGCAGUGUCAACCAUUCUUUCAAAUUCAGAGCAAUCAACCUCAGUGUCGACCAUUAUUUCCAAUUUAGACCAACAUGCAGCAGUGUCAACCAUUCUUUCCCCAAGGUUCUCUUCUUUUCUUUUAUUAAUCGUUUGAUUACUGUUUGUUUCAGCUAUUUACGUGGCAACAAACUCACUAGACAUAUAACCCAGGACUAGGGAACAUGAGUAAACUUAGCUACUUGUAAGUUAUUGUUAACUAAAUAAUUGUGUGUUGUUGUUGUCCGUAAUUUUAAUGAAGGUUAAUAUUUGUUCCAUCCAGGUAGCUGGAUGACUAGAUGGGCAAUUAGCAGGAGCAGAAGGAUCCCACAUCGCUAAUCAUGUUGUUAGCCUUUUUUAUUCUUUGCUCCAGAAAUUUGUUAUCACCUUUCUUUUGCCUUAAAACUUGAAUAAACCUUCUUGUAGCAAUUGCUGAUGCUAGAGGCUAAGCUAUUUUUGGGUGCUUUUUCCUCCUAUGAUCGGCAUAGAGACAUGCAGAUGGAUAUUGAUAAUAUGUCUUAUGAGGUACUAUCUUUUAU